ensembl:lncRNA
CUCCGCUCUACCACCCUUUUCUUCUCCUCCAAUAGUUCUCCGCUCCACCACCCUUUUCUUCCCCUCCGAUAGUUCUCCGCUCCACCACCCUUUUCUUCCCCUCCGAUAGUACUCACCACCCUCUUAUUCCCCCAGAUAGUUCUCCACCCCCUCCCACUCCACCACCCUUUUCUUCCCCUCUGAUAGUUCUCCACCCCCUCCCACUCCACCACCCUUUUCUUCUCCUCCGAUAGUUCUCCGCUCUACCACCCUUUUCUUCUCCUCCGAUAGUUCUCCGCUCUACCACCCUUUUCUUCUCCUCCGAUAGUUCCCCGCUCUACCACCCUUUUCUUCUCCUCCGAUAGUUCUCCGCUCUACCACCCUUUUCUUCCCCUCCGAUAGUUCUCCGCUCUACCACCCUUUUAUUCUCCUCCGAUAGUUCUCCGCUCUACCACCCUUUUAUUCUCCUCCGAUAGUUCUCCGCUCUACCACCCUUUUCUUCUCCUCCGAUAGUUCUCCGCUCUACCACCCUUUUCUUCUCCUCCGAUAGUUCUCCGCUCUACCACCCUCUUCUUCCCCUCUGAUAGUUCUCCACUCCACCACCCUUUUCUUCCCCUCAGAUAGUCCUUCAUCCCCCCACGUUGCCUCCACAUCUACCACCUUGCACUGACUGAUAGACUCCACUUCCUGAUCCGUGAAUCCUCCAUUACUGGUUGGAAGGCAGUAUGGAGUGUUUUAAAUGCAAUUUCCUCUAGUCUUCUGACCUAAAGAUUCCUUACACUACAACUGCCUGGGGUUGGUGAGGUAGAAAAUGGAACCCCAGUGACAUCAUGCUGAGAGAGGGAACGAACGUGACACUACCUCAAGGCAUACUUGUUGCAGUGUUCACUAAAAACACAGGGGUCAUUCACUCAUGCGUUUCUGCUGUUUUUUGUUUUAAAAAUGAAAUGUAACAUAUCAGCGCUUUAAACAUUGUCUAAACAGAAAGGAUGAUACAUCUUUGGGAAAUCUGAAUGGUUUGACUGCUUUGGGAUUUUAUCUAGCUAAUGAUUGUACUUUUAUUUAAGCAGGUAAAUUAAAUGAGUUGUUUUAAGAUAAAUUCCCUACUAACUACUGUUUUAAUUCUCAUUGAAUGAGCCUACUGAGAGGACUGCUAUACUCUUAUGGACAUGAUGGCAGUACUCAACAUGGACAUAGUAGUCAGAUGCCCUACUGUUUACAAGGCUUUUGAAGAGACUGGAGAACAGUUGUUCUACCUGUGUAGUAGUGACAAACUGUAGUGGGAUUACCUCUUGGAAAUGGUCAAUUCUUCAGGUAUGACCAGUCUUCGAAUGACUUGGGACAUGCUGUCCCAGAACGGCAGUAGCUGUGCUAUCUAUACCUAUGAUAUCUAUACCUAUGAUCUGGUGUUUUCAGAGGACUUGAGAAUGUUGCUGAGUGGCAUUAAAAUGACAUAAAGAGGAGCCAGUUGGAUUUCCCCUCAACAACCCAUAUGAAAACAUAAUCAAUGAGCUGUGUUUUUAUGAUAUCCUUGGAUGACUGAUUACACUGGGGUAUCUGGUUGCUGAAAAAAAGGGUAUGCCAUUUGUGUUGAUCUUGAACAACAGCAUUAACUAAGUUCUCUGUCUGCUGCAGAUACUGUAUGGGUUAUGUGUCCAUAUUAUUAUUAUUUUUACGUCCCUUCUGUGAAGUAUGAACGAGCGCCAAACGCCUCCGAUCCUGUAACCGGUCACAUAUUUGUACAGUGGUGGGUCAAAUAUUGACGUAAGCUCCUGGAAGGGUUCCCAAUGAGCUGACUGCUCCUUGUUUCAGUAAAUAAGGUCCCUUUUAGAGCCAUCUUGCAGCUAGAGGUGUAUGCCGAAACCCAAAGUCAUCUUUAAACCUUGUUAAAACUUCAGAAAAGAAUGUGGGGUGUUUUAAACAUGCAAACUUGAUUCUAAGCCUAAUCAAUGGCAAUUGACAAGUGCAAGAUUAUGCAUUUCAAUAAGCAGUGGGCCUGUAUAUUAUUAAACAGCUUGCUAACAUUUUAUAUUGUCUCUGUGAAACGUACAGAACCUGGUUGCCUGCUAAUAUUUAAUUACAGUCAAUGCCAUGCAGGGAUUAUGACUAAUUAUUUACAUAUCAGGUUUAACAUCUUGAGCAAUAAAUAUUAAC